CCUCUGUGCACGCGCUUUAACGUGCGCGAUGGGUAAGGGGGGGGUGAUAAAGGCUGCACGCACGAAAUUCCUCCAAGGAAACUCUGCGAGCUUUUUUUUUUUUUUCCUUUUCUUUUUUUCAUCACGCGCGUGCUAAAAAUAGAAACAGGGUUGGAUCGUGAUCCAGAAAUAGAUAGGGGGCAUCACUCCUAUAAAAGGCACACCAUUCAAGAGUACAGUGUGUGCACAGUAGGAAGAACCGAAAAGCAAGAGAGCGCAUUUUAAAGCAGAGAGCAGUUUUAUUUGCUCUUUUAUUUUGUGGUGACACUCCUCCUGCUUGCACGGUUAUCACACACACCUUCAGAGAUGACGGCACUGAAUGAGCUCAGAAUGAAAUAGGGAUGCUACAAAAACAAAUGUGAGGAAAACCUACCAGUGUGUCUCAAGCAGAUUCUGUAUUUUGUUUUUUCAGACUUUGAUUGUUAAAAUGAAUUCACACAUUUCAAUAUGAAAUAAAGCAGUACGGCUGUUUUACUGCACACAGUCAGAAGAUAUGGAAGGUCUUGGUGCUCGUUUGUCUAUAUGUGUACUACAAUUGGCUGGCAACCAGUCCACGGUGUCCCUCCCAAAGUCAUCUGGGAUAGGCUCCAACAUGAUCCCUAAUGAUGUUAAAGUGUCAUGUUUAAUCUGACAAAGAUGUAUACAUUUAAAAAUCCCCAUGAGUGACCAUAGCAUGUCAUUUCUCCUGCCUUUUUUUUUGCAGUCGUGUAAAGCUGAGUUGUACUUUUGAGUAUGUUUAGUGCCAAAAUCUUUUAAGAAUGUAAAUGUGGAAUAUUCUAUUCUAAAUAUUCAGUCAAACAUUUCAAAUAAAGCAACAUGGCCAUGAAUCAAAAAGAAAUAAAAACAGCACCUGACCUUUGAGCUCUUUUAUGAGCAGCAUGCACGUGAAAUAUGCUUUGACGCACAAACAUGUACUAGGUUCCAGCAGUAUUCCACAAAUAUCCCAAAGUAGUAGCAUCAGAAAAAAUGUUAUAUAUAUGUUUUUAUAUUUUUAGGCAUAAUCAUUUCUACAUUUUACUUUUGAAUGUAUUUUGUUUGGAUUUUGCAAGUAAAUGUGCGUUUGAUGGCUAAUGAAGUAAGCCUUGUACAUGUGUGUAUUAGUUGUGUAGCACACUUGCCUUUAUCUAGUUUGUCAUACAUAUGCUGACAUUUUAACAUAUGAAUUAUCUCAUCAUUGUGCAUAUAAUUGCCUUAUUGACAACAAUGUGUGGAUUUAAACCGUAAUGAAUGUAUUUCUUGGGAAUGUACCCUCAAUUACUGUUGUCACUUUGUUCAAAAGAUAUGAUGGCGCUUGCACGAUGCUCAAAUCAACAUGUCCAAAAAGGACGAGGAAGAAGCAGAGUGUAUUUAUAACUACCUCUUCAAAUACAGAAUGUAUAAAUAAAUAAUAUAUCGAUUAGAUGAUAAAAGAAUGAAGAGUGAAUAGUAAAAUGUGUUAUUUUUUUACAUUUCGAAAGUCAGCACAAGGCAUAAAGGAUUUGAAAUUGAUCUUUUUCUUAGAGGCUUCUCUGUUGUUUUUAUACACCAUUAGUUGGGAAAUAUUUCAAUGUGGAAAAUGUUUUUAUUUUGUUGGAUUUACAGGUAUAUGCUUCAUGUACUUAUUUCUAAAAAAACAAGUCACAUCUUGUCGUCUUUUUCUCUCAUCAUGUCUGCUGAUCUUUUUUGUAGCAAAACUAUCAUUCAUUAAAAAUCAUAAUGGAAAUAAAUGAUUUCAGAACCCCUUCA